CUAUUGACCUCACCCCUUUCCUAAGAGGUCUGUAGGGGGCAUGCAUAAGCGCACAAUCGUGCCUAUUGUCCUGUCCUAUUGUCACCAAUUAUAAGUUCCUAUUUCUUAUAUUUAAACUUAUGUUUAUUCUUAUUUCUAUUGUAUUGUAAGCUUUUGACAAAAUAAAUAAAUAAAUAAAUAAAAUA